rnacentral:rRNA from 1 species
AGUGAACGCUGGCGAUAGGCCUAACACAUGCAAGUCGAACGGCAGCACAGAGGAGCUUGCUCCUUGGGUGGCGAGUGGCGGACGGGUGAGGAAUACAUCGGAAUCUACUCUGUCGUGGGGGAUAACGUAGGGAAACUUACGCUAAUACCGCAUACGACCUACGGGUGAAAGCAGGGGACCUUCGGGCCUUGCGCGAUUGAAUGAGCCGAUGUCGGAUUAGCUAGUUGGCGGGGUAAAGGCCCACCAAGGCGACGAUCCGUAGCUGGUCUGAGAGGAUGAUCAGACACACUGGAACUGAGACACGGUCCAGAGUCCUACGGGAGGCAGCAGUGGGGAAUAUUGGACAAUGGGCGCAAGCCUGAUCCAGCCAUACCGCGUGGGUGAAGAAGGCCUUCGGGUUGUAAAGCCCUUUUGUUGGGAAAGAAAUCCAGCUGGCUAAUACCCGGUUGGGAUGACGGUACCCAAAGAAUAAGCACCGGCUAACUUCGUGCCAGCCGCCGCCGUAA